AUGGAGGGGUUUGCGAUCGUGUUGGUUCUGUGGCAGAAGGGCGUUUGUCGGCGUCGCGUGUUAUUUCUGGUGCAUUGUGGACUCGCGGCUGCGAUCGGAGCGGAAGGCUGGAGUCUCAAGUCUGCGCGAUUUGGAGUGUGUAAGAUAGAGUUAGGUCAAAUUUUAAGAGUUGCAAAGAGGAAAAUUCAAGAGUCGAUGAUCUCCUUAUAA